rnacentral:tRNA from 1 species
UGGGUGAUCGUCCAAUGGUAGGACUGCGGACUCUGACUCCGUCAAUCGAGGUUCAAAUCCUUGUCACCCAGCCA